CUAAGCCCCUCCCUCAGCCCAAGUUCACUCCUGGGCGCUCCGCCCUGGCGAACCCCUUGAAGGACGAGCGCAGGGCCAGCUGCCCCACCGCUGCGGCCGACUACUCCGCAGUACGGGUAUGGGAGUGAGGACCUCCGACCGCAGGGGCGCGGGGCUUCACGGUCGCCGCCUGGCCUCGUGGAACCCGCAGCGCUCAGCCAGCAGCGGUCUGCUCGCGCUUGCUGGAGCGGCUGCAACUCCCCGCAGCCGGCCUCGCCGCCACCUCCGACGGGCUGAGACUCAGGGCGGCAGCUGCCAGGGCAGCAUCUCCGCCCCAGCCCCGCGGACCCUGUGAGGGUGGAGCCUCGGCGCCGCGGUGAGAAAGCUCGGCCCCGCCCAGGAGCGCCGGCGCGGCUGGGCAUGCGCAGUGCCGUCGGCUGCCUGAGCCGCGCUGGGGCCGAGGCUCGGCGCUAAAGACCCGGAACUCUAUGCGACUUGCCAUGCCCCGGAGCCCCGACCCGAAGACUCCUCUUCUUAGGGGGCACGCCCCCACCUCGAGCUCUGGCGCUUGUUUGCAGAGGGCCUAGCCACCUGAGCCCGCUCCAAGGGGUCAGUGGUUUGUCUUCUUGUACAAGAUUUGAUGGCAUGGACAGCUAUUCCAGAAAUAGCAGGAUAUAUUAUGUAUCAAGUCUGAGGGUAUAGGCAACUACUUAGAAGACAGUAAGAUUCACUGUGAUACCCAUUCUGGUUUGACUAUUAUCUUCUUUUGAAGUCCUGUAAUGUCUCCAAUGUUUCAUUUUUAUUGGUUUGUUCAAUUUUAUUAUACCUGAUGAUAUGAGCAAUUCUUUUGAAGAUAGCAAGAGGCAUUAUAGUAACCAUUGUUGAUCAUCUUGUAUUUUGUUUUUAGGUCACGUACUAUGUCCAUCCUUUUGUUUUGACUGACUCUAUUUUGUUUGGUCACAUUUGAUUUUAUUCUCUUCAAAAAAAGUAAUAAGAACUGUAGGAGUAAUAAAACCCAAAAUGUGUAAUUGUUAUUGUAAAAAAGAGAGGAAAAGAAAGUGCUCUAAAGGAUAUAACUUCAUGUAUGUUUAAGUGUGUAAGACAGAUAACCAUAUUAUUAAAUUUUUUGCAUUAUUGAACAGAACUGUUUGCAGUUUUACUGUUUGAAUGUCCACUUUGUAUACUCUAAUUUUGUAACUUGAAUAACUGUUUCUAAGAUGACAAUAUGUAACCUAUCAACUAGUGAUUCCUUACUGUUUAUUCUUUUGAAAUUCUAUAUUACUUCUACUCUUUUUUCUGUUUUGCUUUUUUUCUUUAAAUAAAAAAAUUUUUUAAAAGUGUCACUGUUUGAGAGAAGGACCAUUAUUUUAUAUUUAAAAGAAUUGCUACUAUUAAAAUUCUAACAUGGUUACAAGACAUCAUAAUUUUAGAAAAACUUUACAUGUGAAACCAUAAAAAGAUAGCAUUUUUAAUUUUACUAGUUAGUUGAAAACAAAGCUAGUACAGUUAAAAUACCUUUCCAAUCUAUGCAUUCUUUCAAACUGAAUUGGUGUUUGCCCUUUGGUCCUUUUAUUUUUUUAAUAAAUAUUUAUGUGACCCUCCAUUGUGCAAUGUUACAGUCAUUUUUCCCCACCAUUGUCUCUGUAUUUAAACUCUGAUAAUGAUUUUUUUUUGGGGGGGUACGUGGGAUCAAACUCACGAUGUAGCGCUUGUCAGACAGACACUUAUGCCACUGGGCUGAAUCCCCUGCCUCUGAUAAUGAUUUUUGAAGAGGAUUCCUGAAGACCUUUUAAGUCCCUUGUCUUAAAUUCUUUGUCUUAACCACUUAACAGUUUACCUGUAGCAUCACUUGGGCAGCUUUGAGCUUUGUUUACUAUCCAGAUUUGCUCAGGUAGGUGUCAUUUCAACCAGUUGAUUUUUGUAUUAAUUUGAUAAAAUUUUCAUUUUUAAAUUUCCUAUUAUCUUUUUUUAAAAUUUGCUACCGGAGUUCAAACUCAUGACCUUGCCGCUUACCAGGCAAGCACCUGAGCCACUGAGCUAAAUCCCCAGCCCUUAUUUCCUGUUGUCUUAUAAAAUUAAUAAAAAAUGCAAGUUUUAGUCAUCCUGUAUUUAAUUGGAUUGGUGAGUGGUUAAACAAGUGAAAUAUUCUCAGGUUACUUAC